ACCAGACUCCUACGGGAGGCAGCAGUGGGGAAUAUUGCACAAUGGGGGAAACCCUGAUGCAGCAACGCCGCGUGAGUGAAGAAGUAUUUCGAUAUGUAAAGCUCUAUCAGCAGGGAAGAAGAUGACGGUACCUGACUAAGAAGCCCCGGCUAACUACGUGCCAGCAGCCGCGGUAAUACGUAGGGGGCAAGCGUUAUCCGGAUUCACUGGGUGUAAAGGGAGCGUAGACGGCCAGGCAAGCCUGGAGUGAAAGCCCGGGGCCCAACCCCGGGACUGCUCUGGGAACUGUCCGGCUGGAGUGCGGGAGGGGCAGGCGGAAUUCCUGGUGUAGCGGUGAAAUGCGUAGAUAUCAGGAGGAACACCGGUGGCGAAGGCGGCCUGCUGGACUGCAACUGACGUUGAGGCCCGAAAGCGUGGGGAGCAAACAGGAUUAGAUACCCGGGUAC
rnacentral:rRNA from 1 species